AAGUCGUAACAAGGUCUCCGUUGGUGAACCAGCGGAGGGAUCAUUAAAGAGUUGCAAAACUCCCACACCAUUGUGAACGUACCUACCCAACCGUUGCUUCGGCGGCGCGGCCCCCCGGGGACGCACCGCCGGCGGCACGCAAAACUAUGUCAUUUCUGGCCUCUCUGAGUAACUUAUUCAAUAAGUCAAAACUUUCAACAACGGAUCUCUUGGUUCUG
rnacentral:misc_RNA from 1 species